rnacentral:lncRNA from 10 species
AUACGCCCCCGGCGCUGCUGCGGCGGCUGGCUUGGGAGGGGGUCGAGGGAGCGGGAGCUUGGGGUGGGCUUCGGGAGCGCAGGGAACGGCGGGAGCCGGGAGGUGACGGCUAGCAGCGUGAGAAGGCCGCUGGCUCCUGAGAAAUCCCCCUCCUCCAGGUGGUUUUGUCCUUUUGGACCAAUUAUCUAACCUGGGCCUGGACUCCAUCUACCACUGUCCUGCCUGGUUCACUGCAGCUCACUUCAUCUUCCUGUGCCUUCUCUGAAAGGGCCCCUCCAAAAGUUUCCUGGGUAUGUCCCCUCAAGAAACUCUCAAACAACUGAGAAGGUGCCUCGACAUCUGAUUUGCCCCAAACCUCUAUACACUGGACAUCUUCUGAAUAAGGCUGUGUUGUAUGUUGGGACAAGCAAAGGGAUGGAAAUCAAGAAUUCUGGGUUUUAGUCCUGACUGUCACUACAUGGCUGUGUUACUUCUGCUUUCUACCACCCUCGUGCUUUUGGGAGGGCCUGAUUCAGAUGAAGAGUCUCCUGAGAGCAUGGAUUGUCUCAGAUGAAGAGUCUCCUGAGAGCAUGAACUGUCUCAGGUAUCCGUGUGUUCCUCAGUGUCUGGCUUGGUGACUGGCACACAAUCUUGCACUAGAUACUGGCUUUUGAAUUAAUGCACGCCGUGAAAGAGAACCCAGAAAGUCUGCACAGCUAGAGCUUCUCCUCACCCUGGGUUCUUUGUGAUUUGACUUGCUGGUGAUUUCUAUUUAUCCUGCUAAACUCAACUCAGGGGAGCCCUGGAAGCCCCUCCUAGUACGCUGACACUGGGGAGAUAUGAUCCUCCUUAUCACAAGGUAUCCCCAGUACCUGUCCCCCCAGGUGGUUCUCCCCACUCUGAGUGUCUACAUCUCAUUCAUUCCUCCAGUCCCAGUCCUUGGCACAGUGCUUGGUACAGAAUAGGUGCCAGUGACUAUUUAAUGUGUGAAUGAGGGGCUGAAGCUAGUGCAAACAGGAGCUUAAAGUUCAGGAAAGAUUGGAGAAAGCGACACUUAACAAGCUCCUUCUGUAUGCCAGGUAUAUGAAGGACAGCGCAGAACACGGCACCCCAAAAUAUGCUACUUUGGCAUAGGAUUAUUUUGAGCUGACAACCAUUGAGAAGAAGCAGAUACAUGAAAGGCUCUCUGCUUGCCCUCUAUUUGCCCAAAAGCAAGACACAAAUUUUUUUUUUUUUUUUUUUUGAGAUGGAGUUUCACUCUUGUUGCCCACUCUUUUUACUCCCAGGCUGGAGUGCAAUGGUGUGAUCUCGGCUCACUGCAACCUCUGCCUCCCAGGUUCAAACAUUUCCGCUGCCUCAGCCUUGUGAGUGUCUGGGACUACAGGCAUGCACCACCACACCCGGCUAAUUUUUGUAUUAUUAGUAGAGACAAAGUUUCACCAUGUUGGCCAGGCUGGUCUCGAACUCCUGACCUCAGGUGAUCCGCAUGCCUUGGCCUCCCAAAGUGUUGGGAUUACAGACAUGAGCUGUGGCGCCUGGCCCAGGACACCAAUUUGUAAAGGUUUCUCCUCCUCUCCUCUCUACCAAGAAGGACAGAAGUUAAUCACUGGCGAGAAGUCUAGACCUUUAUAAACCCAGAGAGGGCACCAGAGGAAUACGUACGUACGUGUGAUGCACAUGUUAAUCUAUUUUUCGUCAGUUGAAUUUACAGGGCCCCAGCUGGAAAAUUUAGGAGAGUAGAGGGAAAAAGAUUUUCUUCCCCUACGCAUUGUACAAAGUCCUUGCAUACUUUCUCUCUUUUAAUUUUUACAACCCCUUGAGGUAAAUUCUACUAUUCCCAUUUUACAGAGGAGGAACUGAAGAUCAGAGCUGUUAAGUAACUUACUCAAAGUCACACAGCUCAUCAAAGGAGGGCCUCCUAUUAGCGUCCAAAUAUAACGUUGUGCCUUCUACUGCACAGUGAUGUAGGGUGGGCUGGAGUCAGAACACUCAAUUGUAGCCCAUGAGACACUGCUGGGUAUAAGGACCCCUUUCUUUGCCUGCUGCUUGCCUGCAACAUUACCACCUUCACCCCUUGAAGCCAGUUUGUCUGCAUAUUGAUUUGAUUUAGGCUUACAGGACUUCAGGGUCUAUUUCCAUUGUGCUUCUCAAGGAACAUUUUGCAAUAUUUGUUUCAUUCACUUCAAGUUCUUAAGACUUAUGUUUUCCCAUUUAUGGGUACAUGGACCAAGAAGCUGAUGGAAUCAGUAAGUGUAUUUUGCUGAAACUCUUGACCAGUGUGUCUUACAGUGAAAACUAAGACUAAAAUCCUAAGCCCCCAGUCAACUGCAUGGACCCACUCUUGGUCAAGGGGAACCCCCGAGACAGCCGAAAAACAGACUACCUGGCCAUAAUGGGAAGGAGGGUCAGACCAGCCUCAUUAUACCCACUCCCUUUUGGAGUUUAGGCACAACUGGCCAGCCUUAAUGUUAAAAUAGAGAUCACAAGACUGACAAAACAGAUUCUUUGUGGCACUAAGAUUCCAGAUUUUAAACCAUGCGAGGCCAGGGUGAAGUCAUGCCUGCAGGCCAUCAAUUUUGCUAUGUAGCAUCCUUAUCUUAAUUUAAAACAUUCUUUUUUGCUGACGCCAAAUUUUAGACAGAGCCUUACUCCUUUAACCAACUGUAAAUUAAAGAAUAUCUGAAUCCACUUAUAACCUGUAAGCCCUCCACGUCAAGAUAUCCCGCCUUUUUGGGUCAUACCAAUAUAUACCUUCCAUGUAUUGAUUUAUGUGUUUGCCUGUAACUCUUGCCUCUCUAAAAUGUAUAAAAGCAAACUAAUCUGACUGCCUUUGGCACACUUUUUU